UACGAAGGGGGCUAGCGUUGUUCGGAAUUACUGGGCGUAAAGGGCGCGUAGGCGGCGUGUCAAGUCAGGCGUGAAAGCCCCGGGCUCAACCUGGGGACCGCGCUUGAGACUGGCAUGCUCGAGUUCGGGAGAGGAUGGUGGAAUUCCCAGUGUAGAGGUGAAAUUCGUAGAUAUUGGGAAGAACACCGAUGGCGAAGGCAGCCAUCUGGACCGACACUGACGCUGAGGCGCGAAAGCGUGGGGAGCAAACAGG
rnacentral:rRNA from 1 species